rnacentral:rRNA from 1 species
UACGUAGGGUGCGAGCGUUGUCCGGAAUUAUUGGGCGUAAAGGGCUCGUAGGCGGUUUGUCGCGUCGGGAGUGAAAUCCACUGGCUUAACUGGUGGCUUGCUUUCGAUACGGGCAGACUGGAGGUAUGCAGGGGAGAACGGAAUUCCUGGUGUAGCGGUGAAAUGCGCAGAUAUCAGGAGGAACACCGGUGGCGAAGGCGGCAUCCUGGACCAAUACUGACACUGAGGAGCGAAAGCCAGGGGAGCAAACGGG